rnacentral:rRNA from 1 species
UGAAUACGAGAUGCUACGGCGUCGAAGCAGUCUAUGUCAUACUUCCAAGAAAAGCUUGCACUGUCAUAAACAAAUAAUGCCUGUACCAUAACCGACACAGGUGGGUAGGUAGAGUAUACUAAGGGGCGCGAGAUAACUCUCUCUAAGGAACUCGGCAAAAUGACUCCGUAACUUCGGGAGGAGGAGUGCCUUAUUUAUAAGGUUGCAAUAACAAGAUCCAAGCAAGUGUUUACCAAAAACACAGGUCUCCGCUAAGUCGUAAGACGAUGUAUGGGGGCUGACGCCUGCCCAGUGCCAGAAGGUUAAAGAAGUUGGUUAGCAUCCGCGAAGCUGAUAACUGAAGCCCUGGUGAACGGCGGCCGUAACUAUAACGGUCCUAAGGUAGCGAAAUUCCUUGUCGGGUAAGUUCCGACCCGCACGAAAGGCGUAAUGAUUUGGAUACUGUCUCGGAGAGGGGCUCGGUGAAAUAGACUUGUCUGUGAAGAUGCGGACUACCUGCACCAGGACAGAAAGACCCUAUGAAGCUUUACUGUAACCUGAAAUUGAAAUUGGACUUUACUUGCGCAGUAUAGGUGGGAGGCGUUGAGAAUAUUCUUGCGGGAUUAUUGGAGCCAUCAGUGAGAUACCACUCUUGUAAUGUUAGAUUUCUAACUUUGUAUCAUUAUCUGGUCAAAGAACAGUUUCAGGCGGGCAGUUUGACUGGGGCGGUCGCCUCCUAAACGGUAACGGAGGCGCACAAAGGUUUCCUCUGAACGGGUAGAAAUCGUAUCUAGAGUGUAAAGGCAUAAGGAAGCUUGACUGUGAGACCUACAAGUCGAGCAGGGACGAAAGUCGGUCUUAGUGAUCUGACGGUGCUGAGUGGAAAGGCCGUCACUCAACGGAUAAAAGUUACUCUAAGGAUAACAGGCUGAUCUCCCCCAAGAGUUCACAUCGACGGGGAGGUUUGGCACCUCGAUGUCGGCUCAUCGCAUCCUGGGGCGGUAGUACGUCCCAAGGGUUGGGCUGUUCGCCCAUGAAAGCGGUACGCGAGCUGGGUUCAGAACGUCGUGAGACAGUCCGGUCCAUAUCCGGUGUAGGCGUUAGAAUAUUGAGAGGAGCCUUCUUUAGUACGAGAGGACCGAGAAGGACAUACCUCUGGUGUACCAGUUAUCGUGCCAACGGUAAACGCUGGGUAGCUAUGUGUGGAGUGGAUAACCGCUGAAAGCAUCUAAGUGGGAAGCCCACCUCAAGAUAAGUAUUCUCAU